UACGAAGGGGGCUAGCGUUGCUCGGAAUCACUGGGCGUAAAGCGCACGUAGGCGGCUUUUUAAGUCAGAGGUGAAAUCCUGGAGCUCAACUCCAGAACUGCCUUUGAUACUGGAGAGCUUGAGUCCGGGAGAGGUGAGUGGAACUGCGAGUGUAGAGGUGAAAUUCGUAGAUAUUCGCAAGGACACCAGUGGCGAAGGCGGCUCACUGGCCCGGUACUGACGCUGAGGUGCGAAAGCGUGGGGAGCAAACAGG
rnacentral:rRNA from 1 species